rnacentral:lncRNA from 1 species
AUUAGCAAAACCANNNNNNNNNNNNNNNNNNNNNNNNNNNNNNNNNNNNNNNNNNNNNNNNNNACACUUGCAAAGAGACAGGCUCAAGGCGCUGGAGGUGCUGGAGCUGCUCUGCGUCAACCUGCUCCUCUCCCCGUGGCGGAAGGAGAUCAGGUCGCUGAAGACAUUCACCGGUAAUUUUGUCUACUAUAUUCAAUCUGUGCUCCCAGAUGACAUUGUAAAAACAGUACUGGAGAAAAUAGGUUACAUUGCAACAACAGCAACAGAGUUUUCACUUGUCAAAAAGAGAAACAAUGAGGAAACAAAGCAGACUGCAUUUGAAAUAUUCCUGGCAAGAAUGGAGUGUGAAACCAUCCUCGAAAUGACAAAUGAAGAAAAACAUGGCAAUUUGGAGAAGACUCUACAGAAAAGAACACAAAUACACUGGCAUCAUGGAGAUAAAGACAAAGAGGAUCAGACACCCCAGAGAGAAGACACUGAAAAUCUAGAAAAUAAAGGGAACAGUGAGACAUCUUUGUGCCUUGCUACUCAACAGAAGUCUUCAGCUAACAGUGAUAUAUCCUUUGAAACUGCUGGGAAUCUGAAGAUCAAAGAUGACAUGCCUCAGUUAGCAGUUACUCAAUCCACUAACAGGCUUCAGGAACACCAAAGGCAAGUCAUUAACACCGUACAUUUUCCGGGCAAAUGCUCAGACAGUGAGGACUUCUUGAUCAAAUAUAGUGACAUUGUCAUAAGACAAACACCUAUUUUCAGUGAGAAUCUUCCUCCAAAAGCUUUUGAAAAAAAGCCAAGAGCCAGUUUAAGUGAAGAAUGUGUUUUGGCAGUCGCUGCAGAGUCAACUGCAAAUGAGAUGAGGCCUGUGCCACUCUCACCAGGAGCAAGUGGUCCGCCAGCCUUCGCAAUAUUUGCUGACGGUUCUUGUGAUGGCAAAGACACUUUGGAGUACAAAGCUCAAGAAGUCCCCGAAGAAUCAAUUGAAGCAGAAAUUAACGAUGCCAUAAAUUGCACAGACUCAGACCCUGCAGAUGAACCCAAUGAGCUGAAGUCUCUGCCAUACAAGGACAUUGCAUCUGUCCAAAACUGCAGUGGCCCUAGGGAAGAGGAAGUUUGUGAGCUGUCUUUAACCUUCACAAAACUCCAAAUCAAGGACAUUCAGGAAGACCUUAUGUAUCCUGUAGAGGAAACUGGCCAACCUGAGUCAGUAUCAUAUGCAAGUACAAGUGACAGGCAUGUCAGAGAAUUUAAUCAUUCCAAAAUAAAACACACACAUCUGACUAACGCUCAGAUGCAGAACAGAGCAGCUGUACAUACUGAGCCAUCUUCAGAUCUGUGCUGUACUACUGGGAACAUGGAGGAUCCCACAGCUGGUUCUGAUAGCAAGAGACUGUUAAUGGGUACUCUUGAUGCACAUACAGCUUCUGAGGGCUUCAGACAUGUCAGAGAGCCUCCUAACCUCACCUACAUCCCACCACAAAGUAUUCAUGUUCGGUCUUCAUGCAUAAGAAGGACCAGUGCACAGGGCAGGAGGAACUUCUUGCAGCCUGAACGUGACUCUCCCGAAUCCAGUGAAGUAAAUCUGGAGGACUAUAAUCCAAAAGAGCACAUGGAUUACACUAGAAAAACCUCAGGAGCUAAAAUAUAA